rnacentral:rRNA from 1 species
UUAACUGGGCGUCUAGUUGCAAGGUAUAGACCCGAAACCCGGUGAUCUAGCCAUGGGCAGGUUGAAGGUUGGGUAACACUAACUGGAGGACCGAACCGACUAAUGUUGAAAAAUUAGCGGAUGACUUGUGGCUGGGGGUGAAAGGCCAAUCAAACCGGGAGAUAGCUGGUUCUCCCCGAAAGCUAUUUAGGUAGCGCCUCGUGAACUCAUCUUCGGGGGUAGAGCACUGUUUCGGCUAGGGGGUCAUCCCGACUUACCAAACCGAUGCAAACUCCGAAUACCGAAGAAUGUUAUCACGGGAGACACACGGCGGGUGCUAACGUCCGUCGUGAAGAGGGAAACAACCCAGACCGCCAGCUAAGGUCCCAAAGUCAUGGUUAAGUGGGAAACGAUGUGGGAAGGCACAGACAGCCAGGAUGUUGGCUUAGAAGCAGCCAUCAUUUAAAGAAAGCGUAAUAGCUCACUGGUCGAGUCGGCCUGCGCGGAAGAUGUAACGGGGCUAAACCAUGCACCGAAGCUGCGGCAGCGAACGUAUCACUUAAAACGCUUAACGUGACGGCAAAGCCGGCAUGUUCAAGCCACACUAAACGUUGAGUUGGCCGAUGUGCUGACAAACGAACAGGCGUUUUAAGGAUACGUUCGUUGGGUAGGGGAGCGUUCUGUAAGCCGUUGAAGGUGGCCUGUGAGGGUUGCUGGAGGUAUCA